rnacentral:rRNA from 1 species
GACAGAGGGUGCAAACGUUGCUCGGAAUUACUGGGCGUAAAGGGCGCGUAGGCGGCCUGCUAAGUCGAACGUGAAAUCCCCGGGCUCAACCCGGGAACUGCGUCCGAUACUGGUUGGCUUGAAUCCGGGAGAGGGAUGCGGAAUUCCAGGUGUAGCGGUGAAAUGCGUAGAUAUCUGGAGGAACACCGGUGGCGAAGGCGGCAUCCUGGACCGGCAUUGACGCUGAGGCGCGAAAGCCAGGGGAGCAAACGGG